rnacentral:lncRNA from 1 species
AUGGCCCUCACAAGUUCAAAUGCAAAUGCGAGGCCAGGGCCACCUCAUGUAGCUGGAAGUAAGUUUUUCUGGACACUGCAGUUUCAAGUCCAUCCACUUCUCAGCUGUUGGAAGAAGCAUGCUAGAAGAUCCUACAGAACUGCUUCAUUGUCCAGAUGGGAGAAUUAUUGUUCUGAUGCCAGGGAGGAGAAAAGACCAUCCACUACAAUCUGUUCUCCUCCAUGUGACCUGAUACAGUGUGCAUGCCUGGUUGAGCCACUCUGUGCAUGCACAGCUGGUCCUUGAAAACCUCUGGAAGUUUGGGUUUCACUGCACAGAUCAACUAAGCAAUACAUGAACUCCCACAAGAACGUACAGAAGUAAAAUGAGUUUACCACGCAUGGUUGCACAGUUUAUGCAUCUAAGUACACACAGGAGAAGGGCAGUCUGGAGACAGUCCCACUGUAAAAUCAAAUUAUGAAGACCUGUCCCAGCUACUCCCCAGGUACAGAGCCUUACCUGUUGGCAGCAUAUGCACAUUAAACUCGACACGAUGUCAGCAAUUCUUGGCAUAGGACUGCUUUUGUUGCACAUGUGUAUUGCACAACCAGGGGCUUAAUUUCAAGCUUUAUUGCUGUAAUAUUUCAAAUUAUUCUGUAUUACUACAGUAUGAAAGAGAAUAUUGUUCUUUAUAGGUUCUUAUGGAUUGUAUACUUGACCUCCAUCCUGUUCCAGUUAGAUGCCUUUCUGAAGUUAUCUUUCUCCUUUUCUUUCAGCUUACUACAUUGUAUAGAUGGAAUUCUGUUCUAUCCCCUGGGAAUAAGAAUCAUCCCCUUCAUGAAGGUCUUAUUGCUGGAUUUCUGCUUUUCUUCAUCUGUAACUGGUCCCUUUUGACCAGUCAGCUAUCCAUUUAUCUUUUUGCUCUUUAGCACAAGCAAUCAUAUGGUGCAUGUGUGCUAAUUAAAAAAAAAUCUAAGAACAAACACCUGAAAGAAUAAACCAGGACAUACCUAAAGAAUGGAGAAUAUG